AAUCAACGCUGGCGGCGUGCCUCAGACAUGCAAGUCGAACGCGAAAGUCCCCUUCGGGGGAUGAUUAGAGUGGCGCACGGGUGAGUAACACGUAGGUAAUCUACCUUCGAGUGGGGAAUAACUCAGGGAAACUUGAGCUAAUACCGCAUAAUGCAGCGGCACCACAUGGUGACAGUUGUUAAAGCAUUUAUGCGCUUGAAGAGGAGCCUGCGGCGGAUAGCUAGUUGGUAAGGUAAUGGCUUACCAAGGCUACGAUCUGUAACCGGCCUGAGAGGGCGGACGGUCACACUGACACUGAAUAACGGGUCAGACUCCUACGGGAGGCAGCAGUCGGGAAUUUUGGGCAAUGGGCGAAAGCCUGACCCAGCAACGCCGCGU
rnacentral:rRNA from 1 species